rnacentral:rRNA from 1 species
CUGGCUCAGGAUAAACGCUGGCGGCGUGCUUAACACAUGCAAGUCGAACGGAGUAUUCCUUCGGAAGAUCAAAGAGCUUGCUCGGAGAGAUUCUUGGAAUACUUAGUGGCGGACGGGUGAGUAACGCGUGGGUAACCUGCCUCACACAGGGGGAUAACAGUUGGAAACGACUGUUAAUACCGCAUAAGCGCACAGUACCGCAUGGUACAGUGUGAAAAACUCCGGUGGUGUGAGAUGGACCCGCGUCUGAUUAGCUAGUUGGUGAGGUAACGGCCCACCAAGGCGACGAUCAGUAGCCGGCCUGAGAGGGUGUACGGCCACAUUGGGACUGAGACACGGCCCAAACUCCUACGGGAGGCAGCAGUGGGGAAUAUUGGACAAUGGGGGAAACCCUGAUCCAGCGACGCCCGCGUGAGUGAUGAAGUAUCUCGGUAUGUAAAGCUCUAUCAGCAGGGAAGAUAAUGACGGUACCUGACUAAGAAGCACCGGCUAAAUACGUGCCAGCAGCCGC